rnacentral:tRNA from 1 species
GAGAUUUAGGAUAGGAAUGGAUAGACCAAAGGCCUUCAAAGCCCUAAGCGGGAGUUAAAAUCUCCCAAUCUCCG